rnacentral:rRNA from 1 species
AUUGAACGCUAGCGGCAUGCUUUACACAUGCAAGUCGAACGAGUGGCGUACGUGUGAGUUAUAUAUCGGCACGUGCCCCGUAGAGGGGGAUAACUACUCGAAAGAGUUGCUCCUACCGCAUACUUUUGGCGCGGCCGAUAUCGGAUUGGCUAGUUGGUGGGGUAAAGGCUCACCAAGGCCACGAUCCGUAGCUGGUUUGAGAGGACGACCAGCCACACUGGGACGGAGACACGGCCCAGACUCCUACGGGAGGCAGCAGUGGGGAAUUUUGGACAAUGGGGGAAACCCUGAUCCAGCCAUCCCGCGUGUAUGAGAAGGCCUUCGGGUUGUAAAGUACUUUUGGCAGAGAAGCGGUAUCUGCAGAAUAAGCACCGGCUAACUACGUGCCAGCCGCCGCGGUAAUAC